rnacentral:lncRNA from 1 species
AGAGGGAUCCCUAGGUCAAUUUUUGGAGCUUCUAGUACAAUUCUUUGUCAUAAUAAGACAUGACAACUCUCUUUCUCAUAAUAGACUUCAUCCCUCUCUAAGUGGAUAUAAGUUGGUCUCUAUCUCUCCUCCAGACGGCGGUCACUUGAUCCCACCAAACAAAUGCAUAAUCUAUAAACUCGAUUACUACUAAUUUUACUUUUUUAGCUUCACUGUAUUUGUGGCAGUAAAAAAU